UACGGAGGGUGCAAGCGUUAAUCGGAAUCACUGGGCGUAAAGCGCAUGUAGGUGGAUAGAUAAGUCAGAUGUGAAAGCCCCGGGCUCAACCUGGGAAAGUCAUCUGAUACUGUUUGUCUAGAGUACAGUAGAGGGUAGUGGAAUUUCAGGUGUAGCGGUGAAAUGCGUAGAUAUCUGAAGGAACAUCGGUGGCGAAGGCGGCUGCCUGGACUGAUACUGACACUGAGGAACGAAAGCAUGGGUAGCGAAGAGG
rnacentral:rRNA from 1 species